rnacentral:lncRNA from 1 species
UCCAGUGUUGCCACAUAGGAAUUCAGAGCUGGCAUUGCCAUGAGAAACUGGAAAUCUCAAUUUUUCUGUAAAAUCUUUUUCCUUUUCUUUUCUUUUCUUUUUUUUUUUUUUUUUUUUUUAAAGAAAUGGGGUCUCCCUGUGUUGCCCAGGCUGGUCUCAAACUCCUGGGCUCAAGAUCCUCUGGCCUCUGCCUUACAAAGGGAUUACAGGCAUGAGCCACCACCCUGGGCCUCUGAUUACUUAAUUUUAAAACCUAGCCAAUUUGCCUACUCCCCAUAAUGCCUGAUAUCUUUUUUUUUCCUAAGACAGAGUCUUGCUCUGUCUCCCAGGCUGGCGUGCAGUGGCCAUCUCAGCUCAUUACAACCUCCGCCUCCCGAGUUCAAGCAAUUCUCCUGCCUCAGCCACCUGAGUAGCUGAGAUUAUAGGCACGAACCACCACACCCAGCUAAUUUUUGUAUUUUUAGUAGAGAAGGCGUUUCGACAUGUUGGUCAGGCUGGUCUCAAACUCCUGGCCUCAAGGGAUCUUCCUGCCUCAGCCUCCCAAAGUGCUGGGAUCACAAGUGUGAGCCACCUUGCCUGGCUGCCUGAUAUCUUAAGAUCAGAAAAGCCACCCUUCUUAAGUGGAGGGUAGGUCGGUCCAUAUUUACAGGAAUGGAGGAAAGGAGAAUGUUUCUUCUCUCAUUCGUCCAUUCAGUAGCUCUGAAAUUAAUGCUUAGGUGAGCAAACGCCUGCCCGCCUGCCCCCUACCCCCUGCCACCCUCACUUUAUGAGACUUUGCUGUUGAACACCAAGUAAACGUUUCCCAGAAAGCCCAGUUAAGAAACAAUUCACGGCGAGGUGAGGGCACAAAGGUAGGGAAAGAAUUCACUGCGAGGUGAGGGCACAAAGGUAGGGGGAAAGGGGGAAAUUAUAUUUCUUUAAAGGACAGAGAUCCCUGAAUAACACGGGGAGGGGGCAGUUACAGCCUCAGAGGACAUCUCCAAGUCCUUCUAGGGACCCCUGUGCCAUAUACAAACACUGGUCUCAGAGAUUAGCAGGGGGAAGAGGAUAUUGACACAGUACUGUCCUAGAGAAUGAUUCCAGAUGCUUCUGAGUCUGUGAGGCCCCCUCUGUCCGUCAUCAGCAAAACAAGUGAGGGAGAAGUCUGAAGAGUGACGACCCUAGAAGUUAUCUGAGUUUAAGACUGGGAAUCUUAAGGCACAGAGCAGAGGAUCUGGAGGCUGAAAAAGACGCUCUGCAGCUUCAGAGCGAAGAGGGCGGCGGGGGUCGUGGGGUGGGCGUGGAACUUCCCGGCCUUCUGGAGCAGGAGUAAGCCGUUGAGGCUGCGCAGGGGUUUGAGCUGAGCGAAAACAGCUCCUUCCCUUGAUCAUGCUGCCCUCCGGAGGUCAGUGUAGGUAUCGCCGCUCUCUUUCACGUUAUUCUGUCUCUUCAUCGUCUGUUCUGGAUCACCCUGUUCUGGAGACCAUUGGGUCAGAGGGUUCCUAU